ACAGGGGAUGAAAGUGGCUGAUGAGGCAGAGAUAGGUCUAGAUCCAAAUUUGUUGCCACUUGGGGAUCACAGUUCUCUUCACAACCUGGAGGAACAACUGAAAAGCAGCCCUGACCUUCAGAAACAGUUGGUGGGGCGGAUAUUCAGGAGUGUGUUUGGAGGAUUAUGCAUGCAACGAUUGCAAACUCCUUGGCUAAACAAAUGAACAUGAGAGGAGUAAAUGGGAAAAUUGGCUUCCAGCGCCUGCAAAUACGAGAUGUCGUGAUUGCUGCUGUGAGGCGUAACCGUCUGACAUCUGGGGCCACAGACCAAGAAAUAGAUUCCACUGUCAAAAGAUGGCUGCACCUGGCUCCGGAUAGGGAUGGUGGCCAGAAAGAGAGGAUGAAGAGAAAAGAGAGUGCAGGGAAUUCUACUUAUUAAUAUAUUGAAACCUGUGUGGGAAUUUGUUUUUGUAUUGUUGUUGUGUGACACAAACUUUAGGCCUAUUCAGGCAUUUGUUAUGGUGUUGGGUUAAUUCUUUCAGAAUAUUGUUAGUUAAAAGACUGAGCAACCUGUUCUUUUUCAAAAAGA